AGUGAACGCUGGCGGUAGGCCUAACACAUGCAAGUCGAACGGCAGCACAGUAAGAGCUUGCUCUUACGGGUGGCGAGUGGCGGACGGGUGAGGAAUACAUCGGAAUCUACUUUUUCGUGGGGGAUAACGUAGGGAAACUUACGCUAAUACCGCAUACGACCUACGGGUGAAAGCAGGGGAUCUUCGGACCUUGCGCGAUUGAAUGAGCCGAUGUCGGAUUAGCUAGUUGGCGGGGUAAAGGCCCACCAAGGCGACGAUCCGUAGCUGGUCUGAGAGGAUGAUCAGCCACACUGGAACUGAGACACGGUCCAGACUCCUACGGGAGGCGGCAGUGGGGAAUAUUGGACAAUGGGCGCAAGCCUGAUCCAGCCAUACCGCGUGGGUGAAGAAGGCCUUCGGGUUGUAAAGCCCUUUUGUUGGGAAAGAAAAGCAGCAGGUUAAUAUCCCGCUGUUCUGACGGUACCCAAAGAAUAAGCACCGGCUAACUUCGUG
rnacentral:rRNA from 1 species